rnacentral:rRNA from 1 species
UACGGAGGGGGCUAGCGUUGUUCGGAAUUACUGGGCGUAAAGCGCACGUAGGCGGCUUUGUAAGUUAGAGGUGAAAGCCCAGGGCUUAACCCUGGAAUUGCCUUUAAGACUGCAUCGCUAGAAUUGUGGAGAGGUAAGUGGAAUUCCGAGUGUAGAGGUGAAAUUCGUAGAUAUUCGGAAGAACACCAGUGGCGAAGGCGGCUAUCUGGACGGUUUCUGACGCUAAGACGCGAAAGCGUGGGGAGCAAACAGG